ensembl:lncRNA LINC01968 long intergenic non-protein coding RNA 1968
GUUCAGCGUGGGAGGAAAUAACACAAGAGGCAAAGAUCACUCGGGACCACCUUGUAUAUUGGCUACCACAGAACCCAACACAAGCAGUAAGUUAAAAUCAUGAAGCUCCUGACGUCAGAGGACAUGGCUCUGCCAUUUGUUAGGUAGGGAUCCUGUUAAAGGCUCAGCUUCCUCAUCUGGAAAUGGAAAUAUAGGCCUUGCCUGGUUUGCUGUAAUGGGUCGUGAUGAGGACCAAACUACAAAGAGUGGUACAGAUGUUAAUUACAAUGAUUUUUCCUAUGCCACCCAUGGAAACAAAAAUAGCAAGAUAGAGAAGGCUAAAUCCCAGUUUUUUUUGACUGCUAUUCAGCAAAGCCUAGGAGACUUUCAUGACACCUGGAGAGGCGGCCGUAGUGUAUGUGUAAGAGUACCGGUUCCAGAGUGGGGCUCCCCGAGCUCAGCCCCACCACUUACCAACAGCGGACCUUGGGCCAGAUGCUGAAGCCCUUUGUGCCUUGGUUUCCUGACCUAUUACUGUGGAAAUGAUGACAGUACCCUCCUCAUGGCAUCGUGAGAAUUAAAUUAGCUAAUUCAGGUGAAGCAUUUAGAAGAGGACCUCCUGACACUUAAUAACUGCUUGAUAUAAAUAAUAGCUUCUGCUACAGAGUGGCCAUGAAGUCUGGACAUGUAGAUAUUAUAUUAUCAUGCAUCAUAAGAUGGAAAGUCAGUGUAUCACCAAGUGAUCCAUCUCUGUGGGAAUAAAAAGUAUCUGUUAAUUCCA